rnacentral:rRNA from 1 species
GAAGCAGCCAUCAUUUAAAGAAAGCGUAAUAGCUCACUGGUCGAGUCGGCCUGCGCGGAAGAUGUAACGGGGCUAAGUAAUAAACCGAAGCUGCGGCAAUGAAGUUUACUUCAUUGGGUAGGGGAGCGUUCUGUAAACCGUUGAAGGUGUGUUGUAAAGCAUGCUGGAGGUAUCAGAAGUGCGAAUGCUGACAUGAGUAACGAUAAAGGGGGUGAAAAACCUCCUCGCCGGAAGACCAAGGGUUCCUGUCCAACGUUAAUCGGGGCAGGGUAAGUCGACCCCUAAGGCGAGGCCGAAAGGCGUAGUCGAUGGGAAACGGGUUAAUAUUCCCGUACUUCUUACAAUUGCGAUGGGGGGACGGAGAAGGCUAGGUGGGCUUGGCGACGGUUGUCCAGGUUCAAGUGCGUAGGCUGAAGAGUUAGGUAAAUCCGGCUCUUCUUAAGGCUGAGACACGACGUCGAGCUACUACGGUAGUGAAGUCAUUGAUGCCAUGCUUCCAGGAAAAGCCUCUAAG